GGGGAAUUUUCCGCAAUGGGCGAAAGCCUGACGGAGCAAGACCGCGUGGGGGAUGAGGGUUUGUGGAUUGUAAACCCCUUUUGAUUGGGAAGAAUACUGACGGUACCAAUCGAAUAAGCCUCGGCUAACUCCGUGCCAGCAGCCGCGGUAAUANCGGAGGAGGCAAGCGUUAUCCGGAAUUAUUGGGCGUAAAGCGUCCGUAGGUGGUUUAGUAAGUCUGCUGUUAAAGCGCGGGGCUUAACUCCGUAUCGGCAGUGGAAACUACUAGACUAGAGUGUGGUAGGGGUAGAGGGAAUUCCCAGUGUAGCGGUGAAAUGCGUAGAUAUUGGGAAGAACACCGGUGGCGAAAGCGCUCUACUGGGCCAUAACUGACACUGAUGGACGAAAGCUAGGGGAGCGAAAGGGAUUAGAUACCCCUGUAGUC
rnacentral:rRNA from 1 species